rnacentral:rRNA from 1 species
GACGAACGCUGGCGGCGUGCUUAACACAUGCAAGUCGAACGGAAAGGCCCUGCUUUUGUGGGGUGCUCGAGUGGCGAACGGGUGAGUAACACGUGAGUAACCUGCCCUUGACUUUGGGAUAACUUCAGGAAACUGGGGCUAAUACCGGAUAGGAGCUCCUGCUGCAUGGUGGGGGUUGGAAAGUUUCGGCGGUUGGGGAUGGACUCGCGGCUUAUCAGCUUGUUGGUGGGGUAGUGGCUUACCAAGGCUUUGACGGGUAGCCGGCCUGAGAGGGUGACCGGCCACAUUGGGACUGAGAUACGGCCCAGACUCCUACGGGAGGCAGCAGUGGGGAAUAUUGCACAAUGGGCGGAAGCCUGAUGCAGCAACGCCGCGUGCGGGAUGACGGCCUUCGGGUUGUAAACCGCUUUCGCCUGUGACGAAGCGUGAGUGACGGUAAUGGGUAAAGAGGUACCGGCUAACUACGUG